rnacentral:rRNA from 1 species
UACGGGGGGGCUAGCGUUGUUCGGAAUUACUGGGCGUAAAGGGCGCGUAGGCGGCCUACUAAGUCGGACGUGAAAUCCCUCGGCUCAACCGGGGAACUGCGUCCGAUACUGGUGGCUCGAAUCCGGGAGAGGGAUGUGGAAUUCCAGGUGUAGCGGUGAAAUGCGUAGAUAUCAAGCGGAACACCGGUGGCGAAGGCGGCCUUCUGGACAGUGACUGACGCUGAGACGCGAAAGCGUGGGAGCAAACAGG